rnacentral:rRNA from 1 species
UACGGGGGGAGCAAGCGUUGUUCGGAUUUACUGGGCGUAAAGGGCGGGUAGGCGGCCACCGCAAGUCAGUUGUGAAAUCUCCGGGCUUAACCCGGAAAGGUCAACUGAUACUGCGGGGCUAGAGUGCAGAAGGGGCAACUGGAAUUCUCGGUGUAGCGGUGAAAUGCGUAGAUAUCUGGAGGAACACCGGUGGCGAAGGCGACAUCCUGGACCGGUAUUGACGCUGAGGCGCGAAAGCCAGGGGAGCAAACGGG